CACGGGGGGAGCAAGCGUUGUUCGGAAUCACUGGGCGUAAAGCGCACGUAGGCGGCAUUGCAAGUCGGAUGUGAAAUCCCUCGGCUCAACCAAGGAAGUGCAUCCGAAACUGCCGUGCUUGAGUACUAAAGAGGAUCGCGGAAUUCCCGGUGUAGAGGUGAAAUUCGUAGAUAUCGGGAGGAACACCAGUGGCGAAGGCGGCGAUCUGGGUAGAUACUGACGCUGUGGUGCGAAAGCGUGGGGAGCAAACAGG
rnacentral:rRNA from 1 species